GCUGUUUCCCUUAGACUCCGCCCCCAGCGGGGAGCCCGGGAAGCUCAAGGUCAAAUUUGCCUUGGUCCCCACCCCCAGCGAGGGGGCGGAGCGGCCCAGUCUCUCGGCUGUCCGGCCCGGAAGCGACCCAGCGGCCCGACACCCGUCUUGGCCUCCGUCUGAUCUUUGAGCGUGGACAACAGUCCUGGUUUGGCCCCGCCGUCCCCCGACAUUCGCCCGCUGCCACUGCGGAACCCCGUGAGGCUCAGAGCCUGGCCAAGUUUCCACCUACCUUGUGUUUCAGGGGCCCCUUGGUGUCCUCCUGUGCCUUUGAGGAACUUGGUGGCAAGGGAAGCUUGUUUUCUUUUGGGCUGCGUCCACCUGCUUCAGCCUCGACCCUGCUGUGAAGAAACUGUUGUUCUCUGGCUCCCAUUUUGACCUACUCUUCACUUUAACCUUGUCCCUCAAAGUGGAUAUUCCUUCCUUGCUGCAUCAUACUCCAUGGGAUCCAGGCCCACGGUGUACUAGAAAAGAGAGGGGUCUCAGCAACAUAGAAGAGUUUAUGACCACCUCCACAUGGCCUGCUGAGGCAGGGUGGCCACUGCAGGGGAUGUGGAUGUGCCUGACAAGAUGAAGAACAGGAUCCCUGUGGUGCUUCUGGCCUGUGGCUCCUUCAACCCCAUCACCAACAUGCACCUGCGCUUGUUUGAGGUGGCAAGAGACCACCUGCACCAAACAGGAAUGUACCAGGUGAUAGAGGGCAUCAUCUCACCUGUUAAUGACAACUACGGGAAGAAAGACCUGGUGCCUUCCCAUCACCGAGUGACCAUGGCCCGUCUGGCCCUGAAGACGUCUGACUGGAUUCGGGUGGACUCCUGGGAGAGUGAGCAGGCACAGUGGAUGGAGACAGUGAAGGUGCUGAGGCAUCAUCAGAACCAACUGCUCAGAUCUGCAACCCAGAUGGAAGGCCUGGACCCUGGCAAGGCACCUUCAGACCGUGCAGCUGCACCUGAGCUGAAACUCCUCUGUGGGGCAGACGUCUUGAAGUCCUUCCAGACCCCCAACCUCUGGAAAGAUGCACACAUCCAGGAAAUAGUGGAGAAGUUUGGCUUGGUGUGUGUGAGCAGGGCAGGGCAUGACCCGAAGCGGUACAUCUUGAGUUCACCCAUACUAUGCAAAUACCAGCACAACAUUCAGCUGGCCAGGGAGCCGGUGCUGAACGAGAUCAGUGCCACAUAUGUCAGGCGAGCCCUGGGCCAAGGGCAGAGCGUGAAGUACCUGCUUCCUGAUGCUGUCAUUGCUUAUAUCAAGAACCAUGGCCUGUACAUGACUGACAAUUCCCAGAAAGGCAGAAGUACCCAGGGGAAUUAAAGGACAGACAAGCUAGGCAGGCCACUGGUCAGCUACUCUGCGCCACCCAGCACCUCCUGCAGAGAGGACUUAUUUAUUGGAAUCACAUCUAUUGAAGACCUCUCUGCCACGGGUAGGUUGAUGAUCAGACAGUCUCUACCCUCAAGAAGCUUAUAGUCCAGUAGGGUCUGGACAGAAACCAACUCAUCACACACUACAUGUGUGACUGCAAACUGAAGAGGACCCUGAAGGCAAACACAGACUGCCAGCUAGAGGCAGCAGGUUCACACAAAGCAAAGGAAGCUGAAGCUUCAGUCUCUCCGUUUCUAGCGCCCUAGAAGGACCCUAAUUACAUGGAUAUCUAAUUCUAAUUCUAAUUAUCUAAUUCUAAAUUUAUAAUUUUAUUCUUUUUCUAAGAGGGGCCUUGGAGAUUGAACAAGAUUUGGACUCAAUAAAAUGGAUUUGCCUGAUGACAAUGUAGACAAGUUACAAUAAGCUUAAGAACUGAAAGAUAAGUUCCCAAGACUUGGGGAUGGGUGGAGGCAAUGAGCUUUCAAGAGGAAUAACUAUGAACAAAGGCCCUGAGGCAGGAGAGUACAAAAUGAGCACCAUGAUGAGCUAGAUGCAUUAUCAUCUCCUUAUAUCAUGCACCUGACAGCAGGUACCCUUGCAUGCCACCAUCUCCCUGUCCUAGCUUAGGCUCAAGACAGCAGCAGGCCCAGUAGGCUUGCUGGAGGCGCCUUUGUCUCCCUAAUCCAUGUCUGUAUCAUAUGGCUUCCACCAGGUAAAACAGCUAUUUCUGAGUCUUUAUGUUGUUCAUUCUAAAAUACAACACAACAAAAACUACCUUAUUAGAUAUAUAGUAUACAUAUGUAUACCUUCAUACAUAUAUAUGUAUCUUAACUUUUGUACUGUCACUUUGUCUCAUGGAUUCAUGUCGCCUCCUGUUUUUAGCAGAAGAGAAAGUAUGUCUCGUUGCUGUGCUCUUGAUGUAUUGCAUUGACACUAACCUGCAUACCUGAUUUAACAUUCCUUUCCAUUCCCUUAGGUCUUUGCAUCUAGUUUGCCAGGGUGUUUUGUUUAUUUUGCAAGAACAGAAAAAUAGUGGCAUGGGCUCCUGGGUAAAUAGAAUUUCCAGCCUUAAAUAAAGGUUCUCCUGUGAUAACAUUCACUGCCCAAAUGAGAAGAGUGCUGUACUCUUGCCUGGGGAAAGAAUUUUUCAUUUAUAAUACUGUCUAUGUCAUUUGGGACAGAAUGAUGUGAAAUCCCAUUUUAAACAGACAGUGCUACGGAUUUGCAAGGUACGUUUGGUAAUUGGGUUAAUAUAUGAAUAUGAAUUUCCCUGUCCUUGUCCUCACGCUUCCUAUGCUAACAGUGUUUCUGUCCUUUUUGCAGAGGUCUCCGUGCAUGGAUUGUGUUCGAUUUCAGUCAUGAAAUUAUUUUCUUGGACCAAAACUCAGCGCUAUAGAUACACUUAUGUGUGACUAAUAAACAAUCUAUAAUGAUACAUCUUGGCACUUGCCUCAGGAUAGUUUAGUAUUAGUAAAACAACUUCAAAAAUAUUGUUCAUGAUACUAUAGACUGUGGCAACCAGAAGGGACCCGAAAGUUCAUCUGGUUUCACAUUUCCAAAUUAUCAAACACUAAAAUCCCACAAAUAUACGGGAGUUUUACUCUUAAAAAUAAUCCGUUCUGGCAACUUGGGGGAGCCUUACUCUGCCUGCUUCUGUUGCAAAUCCAUAAUGUGCUGCUAUGCCCUGACACUAUUACCUCUGUAUGCUCCUUAUUUGUACCUACUUCCGUCCACCCCUUAUCACCUCCAAUCCGAUUUCUAUUCACUCUCACUCCAGCCACUGCAGUGACCUCCUAACAGGACUCCCCAGCCCACACCUGGCCCCUGCAACCAUUCUCCACAUAGGGAUUUUGUGUCCGUGAAAAUCUAGUCAUAUUACUGUCCUGCUUGGACUCCUUCUGGGAGACAUGAGUAAGAAGAUAAAAGGACAAGCUACAGACUGGAAAGAAACAUUUGCAAAAUAUAUAAUUAAUAAAUUACUUGUGUCUACAGUAUGUAAAAAUCUCUUAACAAAAAUAUGACUAACAACCCAAUUUAAAUGAUAAAAGAAUUGGCUAGACAUGUACAGGAGCAGGUGAACCCAGCAGCCUGAUGUUGCUCUUCAUAGCUGGUAGAACUGGUGCUUGCCUGGACUCUGUGAAUUUGGCCUUUGGAAGGUUACCUAUGAUUUUAAGUGAUAAGGCUGUUUUGUCUUCUUGAGACACUGAAUCCUAUUAUAUCCCUUACCUAGACUGCACAAAAAAUGCCGUUUAUGAUGAAGUCCUGCCUUCUACAGUUUGGAAUUUAAAUACUCAAGGUUGGUGUCAGGGAAAGGGUUAAAAGUGAUGAGAGUCAGGGAAAUGUAUGUGUUCGCUGAAUGACCUUGGCUUGCAUUCCUUUCUUCAAGGAAGCUAUCUCCUGAGAAAGGAGUGUAUAGAGAUAACUCUUAGCACACACAAAAAAAAAACCCUGAUCAUUUCCAGGCUCUAACCUAGGCUGGGAACAAUCCCUUCCAACCACACAGUUCUGUUGGUGCCAAGUCAUUUUUGUCUGAACACAGUACUUAAGAAACUGAAUGUGGUGUAGCAUUUUCUCCCACCUGCAGAAGACUCUGUCUCAUAGAUCCUUCAUCUUUGGUGCUGUCUCCUGCCUCAUUGUGUGGUAAUAUAUUAUUUGACUAUUCUCACAUCUGCUCUAAUUUUAUAAUAACUUUCAUCUUUUUAAAAUCAUUAUGUGGGUCUUCUCUAUUCAUGUGGAUCCAAACCUCAAAUUUCAAUGGCCACAACCUAUACAUGGCUCCUUGCUGUUACAGUUGGUCAUGUGGCAGAGGGUGCCUACAUCACCAGCCCAAGAAGAAGCCCUGGACCUUGAGUCUUGGACAGGACUCCCUAGACAGAAGCAGUGUGAGUUCUUGCUGCAUUUCACUGCUGGAGAAAGUAUGUUCUGCAGGAAUCCUUGCUCCAAAGUGGACAUUAGGAGCCUGGACUCCAGGCUCCACCUGAUGUGUCUUUCUUCCUGUUCUGUAUCCUUUCUCUAUAAUAAUCAUUGCCAUGGGAUAACUACCCUGAGAUCUCAUGCAAGUCAUCAGAGGUGGAACCCCACACAAAAUAGUUGACAAGAGAAGAUACAUUAAUGACAAGUCAGCACAUGAAAAGAUGCUCAACACCAUUAGUAGGGAAAUGUAAGCCAUCACUUCAUACCUACUAGAAUGGUUAAAAUUAAUCCAGCAAUUCCACCCCUAGUUAUCUGCCCAAAAGAGAGAACCAUGUCCACUCAGACUUGUAUAUAAAUAUGUGCACCAGCAUUAUUCAUUGCAGUUAAAUACAGGAAACAAUUCAUUAUGUCCCUUUGGUGAAUGGAGAAAUGUGUUUUAUCCAUUCCGUGGAAUACUGUUAGCAUUCCAUCACUGUAACAAAUCUCUGAGAUGAUCAUCUUAUAAAGAGAAAAGGUUUAUUGGUUUAUUUUGGCACAUAGUUUCAGAGGUUUCAGUCCAUGGUCAUCUGGCCCCAUUGCUUUGGGGCCUGUGGUAAGACAGUACAUCAUGGCAGGAGCACAUUAUGGAGCAAGCUACUCACAUCACGGCAGCCAGGAAACAAAAAGGGAGAGGAAGCGAAAGGCCUAGGGUCAUAAGAGAAUCCCCUUCAAGGGCACAGCCUGGUGACAUAAUCUUCCACCAAGCCCAACCUGCAACCUACAGAGGACUCCCUCAUCUCUCAGAGGCACCAUGGACUGGGAAUAAGUCCUUUAACAUACAGGCCUUCAGGGGAAAUUCAAGGUCCAAAUUAUAUAACAUACUUAAGUAAUUUUAAAAAGGAUCAGAUAUACCUCCAACAAUAUGGAUGAACCUCAGAAAAAUGCUAAGUGGAAGAAGCCAAACAUAGAAGAUGACACACUAUAUGAUUCUAUUUAUAUGAAAUUUCUAGGAAAGAAGCUAUAGAGGUAGAAAGCAGAUAGUGGUAGCCUGAGGACGAGGGUGGGUAUUGCCUGCAAGGGAGAGUGAGGGAGCUUUUGGGGUGAUAGAGAUGUCCUAAAACUAAAGCAUGGCCAUGGUUCCACAACUAUAUAAAGAUCAUCAGGCUUCACACAAAAUGGGUAAAUUUGUGGUAUUUAAGGUAUACAUCAAUAAUUUUUUUAAAAAACUCCUAAGCUUCCUCUGCUUGUCCUUGGAGUGACAUCCUAUCCCUUGGAUGGUCAGCUGCACUCUCAGCCCUCCUUCUCUGCUCCAUCCAGUUUCUCACCCCUCCCUCCUCUUUGCUAUGAGUGCUUUUACAGGGUGAUUCCAUUUGCCUGGCAGGCCUUCUCCCUUCUCUCUUUCUUUGGGCUAACUCCCAUCUAUUCUGCUGUCUACCUCAAGUCACUUCUUGCAGGAAGCCCUCAAGAAUCCCCAGGCAGCACCUUCGUGACACCUCUUGAUGACACUCACUCCUCACUCAUCUUGGUGAAACUACUGACCCUUCCCCCAGCAAAGCACCUGGCUUGUAACAAGCUCCCAAUAAAUGUUUCAUAAAAUAGUAUCUGAACAGCUCUGUGAAGCCCAUGAUAAAGCAACCUGCUAAAUUCUGGGUGAAGCAUUGUUUUGAAGAAUGUUUGUAAACAGAACCUUUUUUAUACUUAAUCAUAUGAGGAAUGUAAUACUCAAAUGAGCAGUUCUUAUCUGUGGGGGACAGGGGUUCCUAUUUUUGUUGCUACAAACAAUGUUAGAGUUAACACACCCUUAUGCAUAAACCCCUACAAGGCAUUGCUUUUGUAGUGGAAAUUACCAGAGUACUAUUGAUGAGUCAAAUGGUAUGCACACUUUAUAUUAUAAUAAAUGUUACUAGAUUGUAGACACCAGAUUUUUAA